GGCUUGCUAGCUUAGUGGGUCAGAGCAUGGUGCUAGUAUCAACAAGGCUGUUGGUUCAAGACCCAUAGAAGCUG